UGGAGAUCACAACCCUAUGUUCACCAAAUGAGCUCUCAAUUUUUUUUUUUUAACAAGAAAUAUAGGGUUGAAAUAAGUAGCAUCUAAUAUCUAAUGGCUAAUCAUAGCCUUAACAUUCAAAGCACGGAAAUAUGAGACCCAUUUCAUGGAAGACGCCAGCCAGCCAGAAGUGUCUCGUCCUUCGCUGCGGCUGGUGCUGUGCGAGCUCAUAAUCCUCCUGGCCCAACCGCGACGUAUAGCAGACCCAGCUAAAACAGCGCCAGAGCCACAGGCGACACCUAUGAGAUAAUUCACAGUAAACAUCGCCAAUUGCUUGUAGGGAUGCAUCGAUCGGCCUUACGAGAGAGACCACAGAGAUCUAAUGCGAAUAGAAUCCAAGGGAACUCCGUGGAGAGAGGAUGAAGUAGCAAAAAAUCUUCCGUCUGGGAAUUAGGGCUCCCUCCAACCCACUGACCCGAAUGAGCUCUCAAUUGAAUAAACUUCAUUUUCCCACCUGAAUGCUUCCUAUUAUGUGCACAACUCCUAGACGUUGAGGAUGGACAGAUACACUGACCCUUUCUUGCUAAUAUGCUGCUGACUCUUCACUCCUCCUUAGGCAGAAGAAUUCUCUUCGCGCAAGCAGAAGCUUGCUAGCCAAGGUCCUGCAAUGAUAGAAGCUCGUCACAGUUCUCAGAUAAGUGUGAUAUAUAACCUGGAGGAAUAAGUAGACUACACACCAAUGCUGUUCUCUUACUGUUAGAUCUUGUGAUUAGUUUAUUCAAUACCUCUUUUGAAGUUCAGUCUUGUCUUUGAUAGCAACAAAUUAACUUCUCAAGGCGUUCCAGGAUUCAGAAGAUGUAUAGUUUCUAUGCUCUUCUAGGAUAAUGGGCUUGGAAAAUGCAUUCUGCGGUUAAUAUCAUUGACAAGAACAUUUUAGUGAAUUCA